AUUGAAACACCAGUUCCUGUAGAAUCACCAAAGUUAAGUAAUGUUAAGCCUGGUCAGUACCUAGAUGAGUGACCACUUGGGAAUACCAGGUGCUGUAA